UGUAGAGAUACUGAGGUGAGGGUACGGAUGGUUGUUAGAGAAUAACUUACACUGAACAUGACCAACACGAGAACCACAUGGAUAUCUACUCAUUCAUCAAUGGUCUUCUCGAUGCUGUAGUACUGUGAGUGGUCUUUUGACCUACAAUAUCAUUGGCUAUUCGUAGUGAGGCUACUGAGUUUGACUGCACGUUUCCUUGAUCUCUAGCCAUUCGGAUCCUUGCUGUGUAUGUUGACUUCCGUAGGUUUACGUUCGCUGUUUGGAGGAUGCACCUAGAU
rnacentral:lncRNA from 1 species